rnacentral:rRNA from 1 species
GACGAACGCUGGCGGCGUGCCUAAUACAUGCAAGUAGAACGCUGAAGGAGGAGCUUGCUUCUCUGGAUGAGUUGCGAACGGGUGAGUAACGCGUAGGUAACCUGCCUGGUAGCGGGGGAUAACUAUUGGAAACGAUAGCUAAUACCGCAUAAUAGCAGUUGUUGCAUGACAACUGUUUGAAAGGUGCAAUUGCACCACUACCAGAUGGACCUGCGUUGUAUUAGCUAGUUGGUGGGGUAACGGCUCACCAAGGCGACGAUACAUAGCCGACCUGAGAGGGUGAUCGGCCACACUGGGACUGAGACAAGGCCCAGACUCCUAGGGGAGGCAGCAGUAGGGAAUCUUCGGAAAUGGACGGAAGUCUGACCGAGCUAAGCCGCGGGAGGGAAGAAGGGUUUCGGAUCGUAAAGCUCUGUUGUAAGAGAAGAAAGAGUGUGAGAGUGGAAAGUUCACACUGUGACGGUAUCUUACCAGAAAGGGACGGCUAACUACGUG